rnacentral:lncRNA from 1 species
AGGUGUCUAUUGGUACAACUUGUAUGGAGUUCCACAGGAAUUGUGUUCUACCGUGUCCUGGAGAGAAGAUGAAAUAAAAUCUAUGUUAACAGCGAGUUAACUGAGGCUGCUGGAGCGAAAAGGACAAAGAAAUGCACAUCAUUUGCAUGUGUUAAUAGGAAUAAGGAAGCUGAAAAAAACCAGACUGUGCCCGUACUCCAUCACUGCCAGCACAGCCGCUUGGAGCUGCCCCGAUGCUGAUCUACCGACGCUGGCUUUGUGCCACAGUGCAUCCCUCUGUAGGUUCAUCGUUUUGACAAGCAAGGAUUCUCAUUAAGCAAGGGUGGGAAAAUGGAGACUGCAAAAGCUUGGUUUGCACCAUCUGGACUGGACUUGCUCUGUGCACACAGUCUCUGUGCACUGGGACGGAGGGAUGAAGCAGAGCAGCCCGUGCUGCCCAGCGCUUACGCGAUCGCUCCAGCUGAGCAAUGCAGGCUCAGAACACAAUUCAUCCUCGUUCAAGUGACACUCAGGUUCAGUUCUACAGAAUCACUACAAACACAGAAUCACUGCGUGAGCACUUCAUCCAGCACAGUGGAGCUUCCAUGCCAUGAACAGAUGCUGUCUGAACACUGAGAUUCUGGAAUGAAAGCUGCUCUAUGACUUCAAAACAUGGUUGAACAAGAAGUGGAACAGCCUAAUGAAGCAUGGAUCCAGCUACUGGAGACUUUAAAAAUGUAAAGAUUUUUUUCUCUGGUAUUCAAAAUCUAGGUGACCUGUCAGGCCCUUGUAGAUUGCUCCUAAACUGACAAUACUCCAGUGCCUCCUCCAAGUGGAUGCUCAACAAGCAGGAAAGCAAUACAAGCAGGGGAACCUGAGGUGUUCAUCUGCAGCACAGUAUUUACUAAUAAUACUGAUAUAUUUCUUUCCCUUCAGCUCCCAUUCCAGUUGGGAAGUUUACCUAGCCAGCUUAGUUUGUCUUUUCAGGUGGUUCUCACAUUACGUACUUUUGAUGGCUGCAGAUUGUAUUGCAAUUACAGUUUACAUUGUAUGAAAUUACUAUUAUACCUUAUAAUCUUUUCAUUUCUGUAUUUAUUCUCACGGCUGCAAACAAAAAUAAAGACUGGCUUUCUUUUCUUGGAGAAAAUGAA